AGAGUUUUCCCUUCGGGGACAGAGAGACAGGUGGUGCAUGGUUGUCGUCAGCUCGUGUCGUGAGAUGUUGGGUUAAGUCCCGCAACGAGCGCAACCCCUACUACUAGUUGCCAGCAUGUAAUGGUGGGCACUCUAGUGGAACUGCCGUUGACAAAACGGAGGAAGGUGGGGAUGACGUCAAAUCAUCAUGCCCCUUAUGUCCUGGGCAACACACGUGCUACAAUGGCUGGUACAGAGGGCAGCGAAGCCGCGAGGUGAAGCGAACCCCAAAAAGCCAGUCGUAGUUCGGAUUGUAGGCUGCAACUCGCCUACAUGAAGCAGGAAUCGCUAGUAAUCGCAGGUCAGCAUACUGCGGUGAAUACGUUCCCGGGUCUUGUACACACCGA
rnacentral:rRNA from 1 species